rnacentral:rRNA from 1 species
AUAGACCCGAAACCGGGUGACCUACCCAUGGACAGGUUGAAGCGGGAGUAAAAUCUCGUGGAGGACCGAACCACAUGACCGUUGAAAAGGUCUGGGAUGAGCUGUGGGUGGCGGAGAAAUUCCAAUCGAACUCGGAGAUAGCUGGUUCUCCCCGAAAUAGCUUUAGGGCUAGCCUCAAACAUGUCUAACGGAGGUAAAGCACUGAAUGGGCUAGGGGCCUUACCGGGUUACCGAACCCUAUCAAACUCUGAAUGCCGUAUAGAAUAAGUUUGGGAGUCAGACAGCGAGAGAUAAGUUCCGUUGUCAAAAGGGAAACAGCCCAGACCAUCAGCUAAGGUCCCAAAAUCACGAUUAAGUGGGAAAGGAUGUGGGUUUGCUAAGACAACUAGGAUGUUGGCUUAGAAGCAGCCACUCAUUCAAAGAGUGCGUAAUAGCUCACUAGUCGAGUGAGCCCGCGCCGAAAAUUAACGGGGCUAAAAUCGUGUACCGAAGCUAUGGCAGUAGAAAUACUGGGUAGGGGAGCUUACUGUAGUAGGACGAAGGUCGAUCGUAAGGACGGCUGGACGAGGCAGUAGUGAGAAUGCUGGAAUAAGUAGCGAAAGUAAAGUGAGAAUCUUUACCGUCGAAAACCUAAGGUUUCCUGGGGAAGGUUCGUCCGCCCAGGGUAAGUCGGGACCUAAGGCGAGGCCGAGAGGCGUAGCCGAUGGACAACAGGUUGAAAUUCCUGUACUACCGUUACUCGUUAUAGAGAGGUGGGGACGCAGGAGGAUAAGUCAAGCGAGAGACUGGAAGAGCUCGUGCAAGCGAGGUAGAUAGGUUGGUAGGCAAAUCCGCCAACCGUUUCGAAUACGUGAUGCGUAGGGAAAUUAGAGUACUGAAGUGACUGAUUCCACACUGACGAGAAAAGCCACUAUCGAGAGUGAAGGUACCCGUACCGCAAACCGACACAGGUAGGUGAGGAGAAAAUCCUAAGACGAUCGGGAGAAGCGUUGUUAAGGAACUCGGCAAAUUGACCCCGUAAGUUAGCGAUAAGGGGUGCCUCAGCAAUGAGGUCGCAGAGAAUAGGCCCAAGCAACUGUUUAUCAAAAACACAGGUCUCUGCUAAAUCGAAAGAUGACGUAUAGGGGCUGACGCCUGCCCGGUGCUGGAAGGUUACGGGGAUU